CUCUCAGGGACUCGGAACGAGGGCUGGGGGGCAGCAAUCUCCCCCCAACUUAACCUCUAGUACCCCUCGGAUUUCUAAUUGCAUUAUAUCUUGUUUAUUUAUUGAUCUAUUCAUUUAUUUGCUCAACAACGUUUAUCGAGUGCCUACUUUGGGUCAGCCCCUUGCUUGAAGUGGUGAACAGCAGACAUGUUUCUGCCAUGAUGGAGCUCACAGUCCAGCAGGGAAAACAGGUGCUAAGUACGUAAUGAUGCUGAACUGUGAUGCUGCAUUAUGCAUUGUGCACACACGGAUACUCAUCUUUUAAAUUCAGUUUAGACAUCGUCUCCUCCAGGCAGUCUCUCCAGAUUCUCCUGGUUGCGUUAGGCACCGUCCUAUGUGCCCUGCUGGCAUCCUAUAAAUGUCUCUGUCCUACCACUUCACACACUGUGCUGCCACUGUAGAUGAGGCUGUCUUCCACCUUCCCUACAGUGAAUGGUGGGCUUCAGAGGCGCCAGGAUCGUCUCAUUUCCUUCUUAAUCCCUAGCUCAGUUCCUGGUACAUAAUAGAGUCCAAUAAAUGCGAAGUAAAAGGCUGACUGAAGAAACAUUUUCUUUAUUGGGUCUUUCCAAGGAGGGUCCCAAUAAAUGUCACUUCUGAACGAUUUAAGAAAUAAUUCAGGAGUAAAGACACAGACCGAAUACGACCUUUAGGAGUGCUGGAGGCUCUGUUGGAGGAUGUAGCUUAGCUGAGGACCAAAUGGGGCUGCCAGGGAGCCACAGCAGUAGGCAGAUGCCCACCCAGGUGAGGGGCCCUAGGGGCCGGGAGGGGGUGGCUGAAGCGCAGCGGAGCGUGCUCCCCGGUGGGGGGUGGGGAGUGGGGGGCGGGGAGUUGUUCCUCGCUUGUCCAGUCAACCUCCCAGAUCGACCCCGAGAGAAAGGGCCCCGCCCCCAGGGGCAGAAGGUGCUGAUGGGGGAGAGAGGUCCGGAACAUAGAGGCCGCGCUAAUUUGCCCUUUACGGGAAGGAAACACCAGACAGAUGUCAGCAAGAAAUGUUCCCUGUGACCAGCUCCACCCUUUCUCCUAUGUUUGUUCACUCUUUACAAAAGCCGAUGGAGGUGUCCCCUCAUCUACAGAGGAGGAAGACGAGAGCCGUGAAGCGAGGAUAAUGAAGCGGAACAAACAGGCAGUAGGAGGAACAGGUCGAAAGGCCAUCCUGUUGAAUAUUCACAGUAACCUUAGGUAUCCCCAGUCAACAGGAAAGAGAAAGCAAACCGGUGCCUGUGCUGCCCUGAUUUCAACAGAGCAGCCAACCUUUUAUCCAUUUCACAAACAAGCUUCCUCACGAGACCUUCUGUAAAUGUAUAUAUAUAUAUAUAUAAAAUAAUUUUGAAAAUCCUUAUGCUGAAUAGUCUCCAAAAAUCCUUGUGCUGAAUAAUCUCUGCAGUCCUUACAGUUAGGACAGGCUAUGAUCCAGGCCUGAUUUUCAUGUCUUGGGAUUUAUUCAUUGAGACACUAAACAAGUAUUUAUUGAGUGCCGUGAAGUUGUUUACUGAGUGACAGGACCUGAUCACUGUUUUGCUGUCGGGGAAACAGGCCAUGGGAGCAUGUGUAUGACAGAAACCCUAGUCCUUUUCUCUGUAGCAGCAGAGCCUGAGUUUCAGCUGGACACCUGGCUGCACAGAACACACCUGCAUUUCCCAAUCCCCCAGGACUUUAAAGACAGCAAGUGAGCAUGGGUUGAUCUCAAGAUGAACUGGAACUGAAGAAAUCGAAAUUAGAAACCAAAUGUCCAUAUUUCAGAGAAAAGAACUUUACCAUUGAUCAGUUGCCCUGGGCAGUAAGAAACAGAUCGGGCACAAACUGGCUUAAGCUGGAAGCAAACGAAUUAGUUCACGUAGAAGGUGUCAACAGCAGGGUGGGCUUCAGGGUGGGUGGAUUCAGAGGCUUGAGGGCAUCAUUCUGUUCCUCGGUUCCAUUCUGUCUCUCCUCGCUGUCCUCCAUAGCACCGGCCUCAUGCUAAGUCUGGUUCCCUUGUGUUCGAAUGGUGGCUGCCAAUGGCAGUCGGGACACGUGUUUUCUUUCCCACCCAGGGAGGGAGAAGAAGAGGCUAGAUACCCAUGACACAUUCUUCCCUGGCGUCCCCAGGAGCCUCUGCUCAUGACUCAGGGGCCUCCCGGAGAGGAGAUGGUGGUCCCAGGCUUGCGCAGACCCAUCUGCUGGCGCGGAGUGGAUGUAGCCUCUAGGAUCACACGAAGAGGUUUCAGCUGUGCUGGGGCUUCCCCACUUUCAUGUUCCUUGAGUGUAAACUAAUGGGGCUGUUCUGUUUGUCUAUUGCUAUACAACAAAUGACCCCAAACUUAGUGGCUUGAAGAUACAGUCAUUUUAUUGUAUCUCCCAAUUUACGGGUCAUGAAUUCAGGCAGGACCCAGCUGAGAGAUGCUUCAGCAUCACAUGGCUUGGGCUGGGGUCACUCAGCGGUAUUUGGCUGGCAGCCAGGCUGGUCCGAGGGUCCUAGGAUGUCAUCACUCACAUGAUUGGCACCCUAGCGAUACUGGGGGCUGGGCUCAGGUGGGCGCCUCUCCCUCAUUGUGUGGGCCCUCUCCUUGUGGUCUCUCCAGCGGAGGAGCUGAACUUCUCACGUGGUGGCUCAGUUUGCUACACAGCUGCAAGUGACAGAGAAAUUGUGAAAUACAAGAUGAUUCCCAAUGAUUUGACAUGUCAUCUCCACUGUCCAUAAUAAACAAAAAGAAACGGGCAUUCAAUUUUAAUAAUAGAUGCUUUGUUUUUCUCCAUGCCCCCUAAAUAGAUGUGUCCAUUUUUAAAAUAUCUGUUUGAAGAGAUGCCGCUUUGCCAUACUGUCCAGGGUGCCGGCGUCGCUGGCUCACCCUGUAUGGUAUGACUGUGGGGUUAUCUUUCCUUCCCAUCACCCCUGCUUGGUCUAGGGCAUCAUCACGUCUCCCAUGCUAUCCCAGUAGCCUCCAUCUGACCCUCUGGCACCAGUCUCACCCUCUUCCACUCAUCCUCUACAUGUUUUCCAGUGUGAUUUUUCUGAAACAAAUCUGCUCAGACCAUUCUCUUGUCUAAAGUCACUAUGGGGUUCUCUUUUACCAACCAGAUAAAAUUCACUCUUGAGUAUGGC
rnacentral:lncRNA from 1 species